rnacentral:rRNA from 1 species
AUUGAACGCUGGCGGCGUGCUUAACACAUGCAAGUCGAACGGUAACAGGCCUAGCUUGCUAGGUGCUGACGAGUGGCGGACGGGUGAGAAACGCGUAAGAAUCUGCCCUAUAGCGGGGGACAACCUUGGGAAACUAAGGCUAAUACCGCAUAAGCCCGAGAGGGGAAAGGCUUCGGCCACUAUAGGAUGAGCUAGCGUCAGAUUAGCUAGUUGGUGGGGUAAAGGCCUACCAAGGCGAAGAUCUGUAGCUGUUCUGAGAGGAAGAUCAGCCACACUGGGACUGAGACACGGCCCAGACUCCUACGGGAGGCAGCAGUGGGGAAUAUUGGACAAUGGGCGAAAGCCUGAUCCAGCAAUGCCGCGUGUGUGAAGAAGGCCUUCGGGUUGUAAAGCACUUUAGUGGGGGAAGAAAGCACGCAAGUGUUUGACGGUACCCCAAGAAUAAGCAACGGCUAACUCUGUGCCAGCAGCCGCGGUAA